rnacentral:rRNA from 1 species
UGGGGGGGGGGGGCCCUUAUACAUGCAGUAGAACGCUGAAGAGAGGAGCUUGCUCUUCUUGGAUGAGUUGCGAACGGGUGAGUAACGCGUAGGUAACCUGCCUUGUAGCGGGGGAUAACUAUUGGAAACGAUAGCUAAUACCGCAUAACAAUGGAUGACACAUGUCAUUUAUUUGAAAGGGGCAAUUGCUCCACUACAAGAUGGACCUGCGUUGUAUUAGCUAGUAGGUGAGGUAACGGCUCACCUAGGCGACGAUACAUAGCCGACCUGAGAGGGUGAUCGGCCACACUGGGACUGAGACACGGCCCAGACUCCUACGGGAGGCAGCAGUAGGGAAUCUUCGGCAAUGGGGGCAACCCUGACCGAGCAACGCCGCGUGAGUGAAGAAGGUUUUCGGAUCGUAAAGCUCUGUUGUAAGUCAAGAACGAGUGUGAGAGUGGAAAGUUCACACUGUGACGGUAGCUUACCAGAAAGGGACGGCUAACUACGUGCCAGCAGCCGCGGUAAUACGUAGGUCCCGAGCGUUGUCCGGAUUUAUUGGGCGUAAAGCGAGCGCAGGCGGUUUGAUAAGUCUGAAGUUAAAGGCUGUGGCUCAACCAUAGUUCGCUUUGGAAACUGUCAAACUUGAGUGCAGAAGGGGAGAGUGGAAUUCCAUGUGUAGCGGUGAAAUGCGUAGAUAUAUGGAGGAACACCGGUGGCGAAAGCGGCUCUCUGGUCUGUAACUGACGCUGAGGCUCGAAAGCGUGGGGAGCGAACAGGAUUAGAUACCCUGGUAGUCCACGCCGUAAACGAUGAGUGCUAGGUGUUGGAUCCUUUCCGGGAUUCAGUGCCGCAGCUAACGCAUUAAGCACUCCGCCUGGGGAGUACGACCGCAAGGUUGAAACUCAAAGGAAUUGACGGGGGCCCGCACAAGCGGUGGAGCAUGUGGUUUAAUUCGAAGCAACGCGAAGAACCUUACCAGGUCUUGACAUCCCGAUGCUAUUUCUAGAGAUAGAAAGUUACUUCGGUACAUCGGUGACAGGUGGUGCAUGGUUGUCGUCAGCUCGUGUCGUGAGAUGUUGGGUUAAGUCCCGCAACGAGCGCAACCCCUAUUGUUAGUUGCCAUCAUUCAGUUGGGCACUCUAGCGAGACUGCCGGUAAUAAACCGGAGGAAGGUGGGGAUGACGUCAAAUCAUCAUGCCCCUUAUGACCUGGGCUACACACGUGCUACAAUGGUUGGUACAACGAGUUGCGAGUCGGUGACGGCAAGCUAAUCUCUUAAAGCCAAUCUCAGUUCGGAUUGUAGGCUGCAACUCGCCUACAUGAAGUCGGAAUCGCUAGUAAUCGCGGAUCAGCACGCCGCGGUGAAUACGUUCCCGGGCCUUGUACACACCGCCCGUCACACCACGAGAGUUUGUAACACCCGAAGUCGGUGAGGUAACCUUUUGGAGCCAGCCGCCUAAAAGGGGAAAAAU